AUGAAAUGGUUAAGAUGUAAUCGGAGAUGUUCAGAGUGGUUUGGUGUGAAAUGCUGUUCUAGAGUCCCUCUACUUACCGAGUCGGAACUGUUCACAGUGGUGGUGAUAGGAACCAGACGUCUACCUCUAAAAGCAGACAGUCACCUCCAGAGUUAUUUUUAUAAAAUGGUUAGAUAUACAAUUUUCCACUAUCUUACCAUCUUCCACAGUCCAUAUAAGCUCAGAACCUCCAGAGAACAUUACUGUGUUUUAAAAACAUACUUUAGCUCAAAAUGUUCUCAAAACGUUCUCAAAAACUCUUACUUUGCUCUGCUUUAAUCUUCAGCUCCACUACAGCUGCUUUUCUCACAUCUCGGGCAGGAAACGUUCCUCAGGAGUAGAUCAGUUUCUGUGAAAUGUCUCUCAGCGUUCGACUUUUUACGAGGCUGAAGUCGCUUCUCAUUCACCAGCUUCUUGUUCAAAUUUCCCCGUUCCACCUUAAAUGGUGCCAGAAUGUAACUGCUGCACCUUUUAAGGUGGAACGGGGAAAUUUGAACAAGAGCCUGUCGAAUGAGAAACUGACCUCAGCUUCACGACUUUUUACUGUUUCAGUUUCUCACUGCAGAUUAAACGUAUCAGGAAACCAGCUGGAGUGACUAUAAACACUAAUAAGUCCAUUCGUCUCCAGAUUAUCGAUGUCCGUCUUAAAUCUCUCUCUUUACCGUUUCAUAGCUACUAGCAGGGCGAGACUGUCGUCUGCGUUGCUAUGGUGACCAGCCGUCUGCGCUGAUCUUCAGGGUUAAAGGGUGAAUCAGCAGUUCUACAUUAACUCCAGCGUUUAAGACCAUUUACUGUUAAACUGUGUUGAAGGAUCAGCAGAGCUUUAUUUUACUGUAGAGGAGGAUUAUUUUAUUAUUACCUACUGAUCUGAUUCAGCUGUGGAGCCACGACAGGGCAGUAGAAGAGCUGCAUGUUUCUGACCCCUGAGCUAGAACAAAGCAUUUCACAUCAAACCACUCUGAACGACUUUGCUUACAUAUUAAUCAUUUAAUUAUGCAGAAAUGUAAAAUCCGGUGGAAUUCCCUGUCAGUAGAGAGUGUGCUGAUGCUCAUAAUUAUCACCAAAGUGUUCUUACUUUAGUGUGCUGGUUACUGGCAGAGCGCAAAGCAGCAUUUUGUAUUGCUGGACAGGAUCAUGUCAAUAACAUCACCACUCACAUGAACACAUUCACACACUGGGUGCUGCACACUGCACCCACAGUGGCAUCAUAGGGAAGCGGAAUCAGAGGAAAAGAGUCCAAAGAGGUGCUGAACGCCGUUAGAACAAGCUUGAAUGAUAAAUGGUUAGAUCAUAGUUUGGUCCAGAACUGACCACUGGAGAUUUCUGAACUGUUAACACCAAAGUUUACUAUGCAGUUUUAAAAUGUCUUGAAGCUGAACCGUAUCUGUCGACUGUGGACCACGUAACCCAUUCCUUUCCUUCACGUUUUCACUCUUUAUUCAUGUUUUCAAAGCAGGCGUGUGCAGUUUACAUCACCGUCUGUGCUUUCUUAGCCUCUGUCAUCACGGCCAUCAUAAUGUAUGGAGAUGGGUGUGACCCGUCGGGGCGGCGGAGCUCGGUCUGUAAUGCAUAAAUCACCUCUUGCACGUUUUUUCACAGUUUCAUUUCCAUCUGUUUCUUCAGUGCUCAUUGGUCUCAUUGAGAGUGGGCGAAGCAGCCAUUCACAAUCGUACACAAGCGGAGGAUAAUCGUGCUGUUGUUUUUUUAUGUAUAAUAUUUGGACAUGAAUGUGUAAUUGUAUAAAUGUGCUUCAUAAUAAAUGUAUGUAUAAAAUCUUCAAGUACUUUUUCCGUUGAAAUGGUGUUGACUGUAUUGCCGCAGGAGUAAAUAAAUA
ensembl:lncRNA